UCAUUUUUCAAAUUCUAACAUAUACCCUAAGACCCUCUUUUGGUAGGAUAUGUGACCUGUGGGGACACAGGUCAGAAUUCAUGCAGACACCUGAGUGAUCUUGCAUCAGGAAAUUACAGUGAACCCCAGCUCGGAAAGAUCUACAGAUGAACUUCCACCACUCUGUGUCCCAGUGACAAAUGAUUCUGGACCUUGCGUCAGAUACUCUCUGAGCCUAAAGAGAUAGAUGCAAUCAGCAGAAAAGAACUUGUCAGCAGGAAAAGAAGCCUUGGGUCAAAACAGUCCACUCCUGCUGAGUCACAUCUACCCAAGUGCCUCCUGAUAGACACAAGAAGAACCUAUACUCUUUCUCCCUCAUAUCUCUCUACCUUCCUUACACUCUUUCACUUCUAUAUCAUCCUCAUUAAAUUGUCCUUUGCCUGUUAAGAACCAAACAGAGAAAAAUUACUCAUCAGAGAUAUGUCCUCGAUAUAAUAUUUGUUCUUGAAUAAGCCACAAUAAACAUCCUCCACAUUCUAAAAUUUUACCAGACUUCAGGGGCACUUCCCUUUUUCGAUGAAUCACUGCUACCCUGAAACCCUAGACACAAGGAGACAUUUCACCUGUAAGGGCAAACAAGCUGUUCCUUGGCAUCAAGGAUGAUGCUUAGAUACCAAAAUGACCCCACCUUUUUGCACAGUCCAUGAGCCUCUUAACCCUAAGGCACUAGGCUAUCAAGACAUCCACCCAAGAAUUUCUGUUUGAAUAUACAAGGUUUAUUCAUGCAAACAUUCAUUAAAAUAUUACAAUAAUAUAUACAUUAUACAGAUAUCUCACCAAACAGGAAACAGCUGCUUUACAAAAGUGCUGCCGAUGGGUUCUGCUGGGAAAUCUUCUCCAGUGAGGAUGCUUUGGAAGUUUUCAGGCUUGACCCUCAUAUACUGUGAAAUCUUUCAACUGUGGCAGCCAGGGAGGAUGGCACUGAUGGAGGUCCAGGAAGUCCAGAAGCUCCUUGUGAGGGGAGGUCCCAGCUGGAUGAGGAACAGAGUAGGAGAACAAGGAAAGAGAUACCAUGGAGAAUGAAGGCUAAGGAAUCUGAAGAACACUGGACAAAUGAGACAGCUGAAGAAAAAGAACAAGUCAUCUAGAAAAAACUUGUCCCAAGAAAAGAGUAAAUUGGCCUGUUGUUACAUCACAUAUAAAAUUUCAUGUCUUCCUAAAUGUUUGUUUCUGCUCUUCUCUAAAAGCACUUAACACAAAUGGUCUUUUUGUAGUCUCAGUUCAACCAAAAAUUAAAACUGGCUUUGGAGUUGGAAAAUGGCUCUCUCCUUCUCUAAACUCAAGCAUGUUUGUUAAAAGGAAAGUGCAAAAUCUCUAUAUCAUGUCAGAAGAAAGAGCCAUCUGAUAUGGGACAGAAGAAAACCAAAAUUAAGGGACUAUUCUAUUGCCACUAAUCUCAAUUCUUUGGUUCUAUUUUGAUUCUUUAAACUUUUCUUAAGGUAUGAAUUUUAUAUCAAAAUCUAUAAGAUAUAUAUACAUAUAUAUAAUCUUAAACUUUUGUUAUAUUAAUGGUCAUAUUGAGUACUAACUAAUUCUAGAAAAUGCCUUCGUUUAACUUCCUAUACAUGUUUUUGUGUUGGAGUCUCUAUCAGUUUUCUGCAAGGGAAUCAUGAGCAGGCCUAACAGUGAAUUGAAGUCUCCAGAAAGAUGAUGGGGCCCAACAACGAUGAUUCCACAUGGACAACAAUAAUACCACUAAGCUGACAAACAUCACCCAAGGAUAAGCUUUGGAUUACAAACUGCUCAGGACAAUUUUGAGAUGGCCAGUUGAGAUGAUCCAGUCUCACAGACUAUUCCAGUGAGGACUUGAGAUAAGCCCUGAACUUUUGCAUUAUGAAGAGACUGGACAACAAAUGAUACAGCAACCACUACAGUAACUUGACAAUUAAUUAAAAUUUUUUCUUUUCAGGAUCUCCUAAAGAUGCCUUCACCCACAAACAGUAGGAAGCAAUUUUAAGAACAUGUCACCCACAUUCCCAAUAAGUGGUUUUUGGUCUUUCAACGGAUUUUGGGUUUGGGAUAAUUGUCAUUGUUUAGGAUAGUUGGUGACAAGUUGUUAUUGUUAAUGGUCAGGAAAGAAUCUAAACAAAGGAGAUAGAUUUAAGUUUAUUGUUUGAAAAAAAGGAAAGGAAAAACAGGAUAUGGAUAAGAGGUAGAUUAUUGAAUCUACUCUGAAAAAAUAUAGAAAUUAUAGAAUAAAGGGCAUAUUAUUUAAUCUACUCUGAAAAGAAAAAAGAGGGGAUAUAGACAUGAUACAAAUAAAAAGGCAGAUUACUGAAUUACUUUUAAAAGACAUCUACUAGUUUUAAAUAUUUUAUAUUAGAUUGGAUUUUUAUAUAUUGUAUACAAAUUAUAUAUAUUGAUACAAAUUUGAGAUUGAUAUUGUUAGAAAAUUCUGUAUACAUAUUUCUAAUCCUGUUCAGGAUGUUGUACUUAUACAGUUCAUUUAACAAUGUAAUUUGCUAAUCCUUGAAUGUUAUUAUUACCAACUAUUAGGAUAUAAAGAUAUGAAAGUUAGUAGUCAGACAUUACAAUUGAACUUAUAGUCACAUUAGGUAUGUUUUCAAGGUCAAGCAGAGAUAUAUUUUAGAUGGACAGGUCAUCUUCAAACCCUUCAGAGAUCUACAGAAUAUGGCAUUUAAAAUGUUUUAAUAACAUAGAUUUCCUUCUUUUUUAUGACUAUGAGACAUGUCUGCUCCUGGCAGCACCAAUCUACUUCAGAGAAGAUAUGGCCACUGAAGGAACUGCAUAUAGAGUUAACUUUCACUGUGGCAAAAGCUAGGCACUUAGCAAGAAAGUGCCCUCACAUCGACUGCUGAGAGUAUGCUAUCCAAAAUGGACAAACAGGAUACAAACAAAGGACUACUAAUCCCUGCCAAGACAAGUGUGGUUACAGCUUUGACAACAGGCAUCCUCUCAGGCCAGGACAAUAUGGCACCAUUGCUGAAGUGGCUUUGCAAUCUGGAAAAGGUACAGUCCCUCUUUCUUCAAAGGUAGCUGAACAGGGAGUGGACCAAUGGUUUCUGGUGUGCAGUGGAGCAGUAGCUGACACAGUUAUUCUUGAAGGAGUAACUAAGCUGAUGGACUCCAACCACUCAAUGGUAGGCUGGUAUUAAAUAAAGGAGAUGAAGCCACCCACAACCUGAGAAGAAUGGGAAGCUGAACUCCAAAAACACCAGCAAUUUCCAGAAUUUAGAAUCUUGAAUCAUGACAGGACACUGGCAGAAUUCAAGUUUAUCUGGUAUAUGGAAUACUUGCACCAAAUGUGAGGUCAAGCUGUUGACCUUGUGUACAUCCUACUUCACAAAUGAGUCUGUCAGAUAUGCUAAGACUGUAGGCCGAAGAUGAUACCCCAAUGUGCAGAGAAACCUCAGAUGACAGUCCAGGAAGCUGGCUGUUUCUGUCAUAACUCAUUUUUUGGAAGUCACUUGUUUGCACUUCCUGUUUGACUAGGUAACAUUACUUCCUUUUCAGGUCUCUGAGGUAGUUGAAGAUUAAAUAGUUAUAGUUACAGUUUUCCUUAUUAAGAAAUUCAGAAAAGAAACUCACUAAGACAUGUUAAGUGUAUAAGUUUGAAAUACAUCAUUAGAUAGUUUUCUGUUGGUAAUAUAAGGUAGGAUAGAAAGUGAAUUAGGUACAUUUUGGACUCACCAAAAUAGAAUAGAUAAUGGAAUAUUUUCUCUGAAUUUGUGAAAUGCAAAUGGACUAGACACUGUUGAUAUAUUUAUUGCUUGUUUAUAUUAUAUAUAGUUAUUGUCCUUAUUGUGAAAAGUUUUUCUCAUAUUAGCUAUAACUUUUUAUUUUUAUUAGACAAAAUAAGGGGAAAUGUGAUGAUAUUUUAUUUGUGCUUUAAUAAAUAAAGUUUGCAUGGAGAUCAGAGGAAAUAGCAAUCCAUUUUAAGUAAACAAAGAAGUCAGGCAGUGGUAGCACAUACCCUUAAUCCUAUCACUUAGCAGGCAGGAUCUCUGUGUGUUCAAAGCCACACACUAGGGAACAGAGCCAAACAUGGUGGCAUGUGCCUUUGAUCCCAGUACCAGCCAUAGAGUUCUGGAGGCCUUUACAGAUAUGAAGUGACAGAGCUGACCAGGAAGAGGAAGUGAUAUAGCUAGACAGAGAGCAAAUCAGAUGGCAGAACAGCAAGGCAAUAAAGGUAUGGGUAGACAGGAAGUAACUCAUGUUUGGAAGCUGCAGAGUUGAUGAGGUAAGAUUGGCUGGUGGUUUUCCCUAUUUCCCUGAUCUCUCUAAGGCUUUCACCCCUAUAUUUGGCUCCAUGUUUUUUUUUUAUUUAAUAAGACCAUUUAGAAAUUAAUCUACACUGAGUUAUAGACUUUAGUCCUGAGUUUGAAUAUUUCUUGGUAUCUACUCAUUUUGGGUGUGGUAUCUUCUUUUUGUUCUAAAGCUUUCAGGCAUGCUGUUAAGUUGAUAGUAUGAAAUAUCUAUAAUUUUUAAAUUAGGCACUUAGUUUAUAAAUUUACCACUUAGAGUCACCUUCAUUGUAUUUCAUAAGUUUAAGUAUGCUGUAUAUUUAUUUUCAUUUAUUUCUAGAAAGUCUUUAAUUUCUUUUAUAAUUUCUGCCUUGACCCACUUUUCAUUCAGUAGUGAGUUUUUCAGUUUUCAUGAAUCUGUAAGCUUUCUAUUGUUUCUAUUGUCCUUGAUAUCCAACUUUAAUCCAUGGUGUUCACACACAUGCAGGCUGUUGUUCUUUUUUCUGUGUAUGUAUCUUUUGAGACUUGCUUUGUGUUCAAGGAUGUGAUCAAUUUUGGAGAAGGUUUAAUGAUGUUCAGAGAAAAAGGUAUAUUCUUUUGUGUUUGAGUGAAAUGUUUUAUAAAUAUCUGUUAGGUCCAUUUGGUUUAUAUUGUCACUUAUUUCUAGCAUUUCUCUGUCCAGUUUUUUCUAGAUGACCUGCUUAUUGCCUAGAGUGGGACAUUAAAGUCUCCCACAACCAGUGUGUCAGGAUCAAUAUGUGUUUCAAGCUGUAGUAGUCUCUUCAUGAAUUUUCCUGCCCUGGUGUUUGGUGUAUAGAUAUUAAAAAUUCAAAUGAUCACUUGGAGGACUUUUCCUUUGUUGAGUAUGUAAUGUCCUUCCCUAUCUAUUCAGAUUAGCUUUUGUUUGAAGUCUAUUUUGUCAGAUAUUAACUGGCUGUUCCAGCUGGCUUCUUAGGUCCAUUUGCUUGGAAUGUAUUUUUCCUUUCUUUUACUCUGAAGUGAUUUCUGUCUUUGAUAUGGUUCUUGGAUGCCGCAGAAAAUUAGAUCCUGUUUUUGCAUCCAUUCAUUUCAUUCUGUUAGUUGGUUUCUUUUAGGGUGGGGAUUGAAACCAUUAAUGUUGAAAGUUAUCAAUAAACAGUGUUAUUUAUUCUAUAGUUUUGUUGUCAUGGUGCUCCCCCCUUUUUAUUUGCUGUUCUGGGGAUAUUUAUUCUUUGUUUUAUCAUGCAUGUUUUUAACUUCUUCAAGUUGAAGUUUUCCUCGUAGUGCUUUCUGCAGGACAGUAUUUUUAAAUAGAUACUGUUUAAAUUUGAAAUUAUCACAAAAUAUCUUUUUUUCCCUCCAUCUAUUGUGAUUGAAUGUUUUCUGGGAUAUAGUAGUCUGGGCAUCUGAGGUCUCUUAGAGUUUGUAGAAUAUCUGCCCAGGGCUUUCUGUCUUUUAUAGUCUCAUUGAGAAGUCAGGUGUUAUUCUGAUAGUCCUGUCUUUGUAUGUUACUUGAUCUUUUCCCCUUGCAGCCUUUCAUGGUCUUUAUUUGUUCUGUACACUUAGUGCUUUGAUUAUCAUUUGUUCAAGGGAAUUUUGUCUUUGCUGUCGUCUGUAUGUUUCUUGUACCUUGUACUUCUAGAGGCACCUCCUUUUUUAGGUU